GACAGAGGUGCCAAGCGUUAGGCGGAAUCACUGGGCUUAAAGCGUGUGUAGGCGGAUCGUUAAGUACCUUGUGAAAUCCCACGGCUCAACCGUGGAACUGCUGGGUAUACUGGCGAUCUUGAGCCACCUAGGGGCGAGCGGAACAAGCGGUGGAGCGGUGAAAUGCGUAGAUAUCAGGAAGAACACCAAUGGCGAAAGCAGCUCUCUGGGACGGUACUGACGCUGAGACGCGAAAGCGUGGGGAGCGAACAGG
rnacentral:rRNA from 1 species